GACGAACGCUGGCGGCGUGCUUAACACAUGCAAGUCGAACGAAGUGGCGAACGGGUGAGUAACGCGUAAUCAACCUGCCCUUCAGAGGGGGACAACAGGUGGAAACGACUGCUAAUACCGCAUACUGAAGGAGGGGAUUGCGUCUGAUUAGCUAGUUGGAGGGGUAACGGCCCACCAAGGCGAUGAUCAGUAGCCGGUCUGGGAGGAUGAACGGCCACAUUGGGACUGGGACACGGCCCAGACUCCUACGGGGGGCAGCAGUUGGGAAUCUUCCGCAAAUGACGAAAGUCUGACGGAGCAACGCCGCGUUGGUGAUGACGGGCUUCGGGUUGUAAAGCUCUGUUAAGCGGGACGCGGUACCGGAAUAGAAAGCCACGGCUAACUACGUGCCAGCAGCCGCGGUAAUAC
rnacentral:rRNA from 1 species